UACAGAGGUGCCAAGCGUUAGGCGGAAUCACUGGGCUUAAAGCGCGUGUAGGUGGGUCGUUAAGUGUCCGCGUGAAAUCCCACGGCUCAACCGUGGAACUGCCGGGCAUACUGGCGAUCUUGAGGCAUUCAGGGGCGAGCGGAACAAGUGGUGGAGCGGUGAAAUGCGUAGAUAUCAGGAGGAACACCGGUGGCGAAGGCGGAUCUCUGGGCCAUUACUGACGCUGAGGAGCGAAAGCGUGGGGAGCGAACAGG
rnacentral:rRNA from 1 species